rnacentral:snRNA from 1 species
UUUGUUAGUUAUUUUACAAUCCAU